rnacentral:rRNA from 1 species
GAUGAACGCUGACAGAAUGCUUAACACAUGCAAGUCUUUGGCGAAGCUGUGCUUGCACAGCCUAGCCAAGGCGGACGGGUGAGUAACGCGUAAGGAACUUGCCCUGCAGUCAGGGAUAACAGACGGGAACGACUGAUAAGACCUGGUAAAGUCAGGCGGACUCAUGUCCAGCCUGAUGAAAAGAGAUGCUGCAGGAGAGCCUUGCGUCCUAUUAGCUUGUUGGUGGGGUAACGGCCCACCAAGGCGAUGAUAGGUAGCCGGCCUGAGAGGGUGGACGGCCACAAGGGGACUGAGAUACGGCCCUUACUCCUACGGGAGGCAGCAGUGGGGAAUAUUGGACAAUGGGGGCAACCCUGAUCCAGCAAUUCUGUGUGCACGAUGAAGGUUUUCGGAUUGUAAAGUGCUUUCAGCAGGGAAGAAAAAAAUGACGGUACCUGCAGAAGAAGCGACGGCUAAAUACG